rnacentral:rRNA from 1 species
GACGAACGCUGGCGGCGUGCUUAACACAUGCAAGUCGAACGGAAAGGCCCUGCUUGCAGGGUGCUCGAGUGGCGAACGGGUGAGUAACACGUGGGUGAUCUGCCCCUUACUUUGGGAUAAGCCUGGGAAACUGGGUCUAAUACUGGAUAGGACCAUGCUGUAGGUGGUGUGGUGGAAAGAUUAGUUUCGGUAAGGGAUGAGCUCGCGGCCUAUCAGCUUGUUGGUGGGGUAAUGGCCUACCAAGGCGUCGACGGGUAGCCGGCCUGAGAGGGUGGACGGCGACAUUGGGACUGAGAUACGGCCCAGACUCCUACGGGAGGCAGCAGUGGGGAAUAUUGCACAAUGGGCGCAAGCCUGAUGCAGCGACGCCGCGUGGGGGCUGACGGCCUUCGGGUUGUAAACUCCUUUCAGCCAUGACGAAGCCCUUGUGGUGACGGUAGUGGUAGAAGAAGCACCGGCUAACUACGUG